UACGUAGGGUGCAAGCGUUGUCCGGAAUUAUUGGGCGUAAAGAGCUCGUAGGCGGUUUGUCGCGUCUGCUGUGAAAACGCGAGGCUCAACCUCGCGCCUGCAGUGGGUACGGGCAGACUAGAGUGCGGUAGGGGAGAUUGGAAUUCCUGGUGUAGCGGUGGAAUGCGCAGAUAUCAGGAGGAACACCGCUGGCGAAGGCAGAUCUCUGGGCCGUUACUGACGCUGAGGAGCGAAAGCGUGGGGAGCGAACAGG
rnacentral:rRNA from 1 species